GACAACACCUAUCCUGAACAUAGUACGUGGCUAUUUAAAAAAAAGGUACACCAAACAAACUUUUUUUUUCGAUAUACAAAAAGGAGUAGUAUUUAGUUCAUCUAUUGCCUUUAGUAACUUCCACGACUAGAGAUCUAAUCUCCAAAAUCCAUCACCCUCAAUAUAUACAACAAUUGAAGCAAAAGAGUGAUAUGAACCAAAAGGAUUAGGUGCUUACCAUUUGCAUGCUCGAAGUAGAAUUGUAAAUUUGGGACUAACACCUAGAGGUUGAAAGAAUUUCUUCAUGUUGACUCGGAUUCAAGGGCAGACAUCUAAUGGCAGGGUUGACUCAUUAUAAUCACUCGACAUAAUUAAUCAAGGAUUAGCGUACCCAGUUCGUUGUUGAAUUCGGGUUUCUUUUCGAAGGGAAGUAAAGUGGAAGAAGAUCAUUUCUUGAUAUAUAAAGUAAGAAUUGUCCUCUUCUAAGUAUAUUUAAAUUCAUCUAGGUCAUAGUUAAAUUGUGAGACGGGAACUAUGAAAUUAAUUAUGCGGGUAUUUGAUUAAAUAUUGGAAUAAAGUGGGACAGUACGAAAUUAUUAAUGAUACUAGGUUGGUUAUUGUGGUUGUUGUUGAUUUUUGAGCGAGUUAAAUUCUCGGGAUGGCCUAUUUACAGGGGAAAUGCUGCCGAAUUUUCUGUAGAAUUGAGAGUUAGUUUGGAAUGAAUAAUUACUUAAGUGCCUAUGGUUAACAUUGGAUAUUCAUGGGCAUAUUUGUAGACCUUGGGGAGCCCGAGGCGUAGAUUUGGAUUAGCGUUAGAUUGGCUAGCUUGGAGUGCGUACAAGGUACAGACGCACAGUUUGGUGAUCCACCAAUUUAGGACACCCCCUUCUGCUGUUUGGAGUGCUCUUAUUCCGGAGCCUACAUUUUGGUAUAUAUACUUGUUUGAUGCAUAUGUAUAUAUUUGUUCAGGGGUACGGCGGGGCCCUAUUCCGCCAUAUGAUCCGUUUGGUCUGUUUAGAGGUCUGUAGACGUAUUUGUGGGUGUGUGUGCCUACUUCUGUACAGAUGUGUUUGUAUGACCCUGUUCGUUAUGGCAGCCUUGUCGGCGUGCACUUUGUAUAUGUUUUGGGCCGUUGCGCCAUCUGUUAGCCUUGUCGGCUUUUGAUACAUUUGAUAGCCUUGCCGGCUUUUUGAUAUAAGUAUAUGUAUAUGUUAGCGCUGAAUUGUGUCCGAUACAGUUUGACAUAGUUUGAGACGGCAUAUAGUGUUUAUGGCCGUAUAUGCUAUUUGGAUGUGAUCAGAUAUGGAUAGGCAUGUCAGGGUGCCCAAGUAGGGCGCCAGUCACGGCCUACGGGGUUGGGUCGUGACAUACAUGCUAACUGAUGUCAUUGCUCAGUAGUCAUGACCUGCAUGGGACCUGUUGACACCCAAUUUUGUCCCACCUUUCCUCCGAAAUACCUAUUUUACGCUUCCAAUAUUUUGGCAACUUUAAAAAAUAAUUAUUUAUGUUUUACUAUAAUUAUUAGCUUUUAUUAAUACCGGCAUUUCACCGUUACUACUACCAUUAUUAUUAUUAUUACUAUUAUUAUUAUUAGGAUUAUUAUUAUCAUCAUUAUUAUUAUUAUUAUUAUUAUUAUUUGUUAUUAUUAUUAAUACCAGUAUUAUCAUAAUUUGCGUUUCAGCAUUUUUACCACCUUAUGCAUACACAUCGCAUUUAUUUCGCACAAUUAAAUGGUAGCGUUUAUUUGUUUUCAAAAUAUUAUUGCACGACUAUUACAACGUCAUAUAAUUUUAUUACCUGAGCACUAAUAAUUACAUAUUUUAUAUUUUAGCACACUUAGUAUAUAAUUAAUUAAAAUGGGUCUUUUAUUUGAAAUUAGAAACCCAAAUUGGUUCUUUCAUCAGCCAAAUUAUUAGUCCAAAUACAAGCCCAAUUCACCCCCAAUAUUUUCAGAUUAACCCAAAACAAUUUUCAUAGCCCACAUUUUGAACGAUCCAGCCCACUACCCAAACCUACCCGACCCUUCCCUUUAGGAUAAUAUAGAACCCUUACCUAGAAUCACACUGAUUAAGCAGACUAUUAACGGAGGUUUAGUUAGCUUUACCUUUGUUAAUAAUUAGGUGCCCUAAUUCACCUUAAAAUCAAUUAGGUGGCGACUCCUUAAAACAAAGCAAAAUAGGAAUCUCCAACCUGUUGUACUCUAAUUUAACCCGUUUAAAAUGGGGUAUAACAGCUUGGCGACUCCGCUGGGGAACUAAAGGUUCUUAACCAUAACAACUUAGGUUAAUAAUUAAUUAAUUGGAUUGUUUUGGGUGUUUUGCCUUUAUCUUUGCUUUGUUGUUUUCUUAUGUGCUUUUAAAUGACUGUUUUAUUAUGACAAAUUUUCUAUGUUACUGCUUUCCUUAAACUGGCAUUCCGUUCAUAUUUCCUCCAUUUCUGGAAAACUCACACUAUCACACGUACACGCGAGGUGUGUUUUGCGCACCCGCAAAUUUCUUCGUAGAAUCCAAAUUUUAGGAGAGUUGGCGUAUGCGCGGGGUGUCCGAAUAACGGUGACCGCGUAGCCUUCUCACUCGAGUAGUCCACUCGGGAACCUUGUGUCUAGUAAGCCAAAUCUUAGAAAAACUUAAGAUAGAGCUUUGCCACCAAUUUUAUUAAGUCAUGCAUGCAUAAACCUUAGGUGGGCCGAUCCUUGGUAUCGGUUCCACAAUUCAAAAACCUACCAAAUUGUCAACGGGUUUGCAUAACCCAACGACCGACAAGCAUAUUAUGUGUAACGUGAUAGUGAUAGAAGGAUCCAAGUCUAACCACGACAUGUCGAGUUUGGGAAUCAUUUCUUUUUGUAGGAUGGUUUUUCACACCCCAAAGCUAGUUUAAUGCUUAAGUUCCUAUGUUACAUUUGAUAUUUGCUUCUGUUUCUGAUUAUGUAGUUAGCAAUGCGAUCACUUUGAGUGUAAUGAGUUCUAAGAAGAGCAUGAAUAAAUUUAUGUUUCCCCUUUAGUAAUUAAAGGUGUAUUUUCUGAAUGUUAGCUUGUAGUAUGCUGACAGUUGAAGUUGUUAUUUGAAAUGGCUUGAAUGAGGCUUUGUUAAGAUUUAAUCAAGUCCCUAUUGUGCUUUAAUCUUGGUAAAGAGUUCCCUUUUAUCAUGAUCCGUAGCUAAUCCCUGUUUGAAGAUAAUAAGGAGUUCACUGUCUUGUUCCAGCAUCUGUUGAACUUGGAUUUUUCACUUUGAAAUCUCUUUCAAGUUUUGAUAUGAGUUUAGGUGUUAAAUCUUGAAAAGUUACCAUUUGUAUGAGAUUCCAUAACAUGAUUAAAUCUUUGAGACAUGUUCAAAAAUACUUUAAACUUGUCAGGUGCUUUAUUGAACACAAUAAAUCAAGAUUAAAAUCUGUUUCCCACACCUUUAGCAUGCUAUAAGGAGCUUCAUGACUUCUUCUCAUUUUAGCUAGUUGUUGUCACUGUUUGCUACGCCAUAGAAUGACUACAUGUGUGGCUCAAACCUGGAAAUGUUCCCCAUAUUCACUUAAUUUGAGCCUCUGAGCUAUUUUUCUUCCCUUUUAUUGUGUAUCCUAAAGGGUAGUUUUGUUCUGUUUGGACUAAUUUCUUGGCCAAAUAUGGUCCUUGGUUUUAUUUCUAAUUUGAGCUUAACUCUAAAUCUUCUUCGUUUUGAACAAAUGUUGUGAGUGGUCAAUUGCACCCCCUUUUUAUUGGCUUUGAGCUUAAGAGUUGCUAAAUAUGCCUUCUUUUAGUUUUUUUCAUAUUCAAGAAUACUAAGCACAACUAUUUAACAAAUUUUUUACCUAGUUCAUCCUUGAGGAAUAGGUCAGUUCCCCUCUAAUUUUUUUUCAAAAAAAAAAAAAUAUCAGUAGUUAAGUCAAGGUUAGGACUGAGUUGUGGUUCUCUCUUGAUCCAUCUGGUUGUGCAAAUGUGUUCAUAAGUUAAAACUUGAGCUAGGCAUGCAUGAAAUAGUUAGUGUCUCUGUCUAAGAAUGAAGACUGCAGUAAAUGGCUUCACAUAUGUCAUAUAUUGUAACUCCCCUUUUGUUGCCUUAGCCUUUUAAGCCUGCUGCUUUGUUUUAUUGUUUAUGGCCAGUCCUUGAAAGUUCAUAUUUUCUUUAUACCCCAUUAUUGAGUUGAUGCACUCCUUUAUAUGGUUUGGUUUACUAGUUGCUAAAAUCCUAUGUACUAAACUGUUUGAAUGCAUGUUGUUCCUGUUAUUUUCCGAGGCUAUACUUUAAAGUAUACCCUAGAGAAAUCAAGUUCCUCCAGUGUUCUAAUUUCAAAGACUAGUUUGUUGUUUUAAUGUUGAAUUCUUGGAAACUUUUGAGCUGCUACUUGGCUGUUAUGUUUGCUAUAAAGAGCUGCUGAGAUUUUGGUCGUUUACACCUUUUCUUGAAGGUGUUUCACUGAUGCAUCUUGGCUGAAGUGCUAUUGUUUUUUUUUUUUUUAAAAAACUUGGAGCUUAAACAAAAGUCAAGGCAUGCCUUGGGUUCAGUUUAUCCUCCUUCGAUAGCUUGUCCAUGCCUAAGGUUCUAGAAACCUUUGCGACAUUGGAAACAUGGAUAGUGGUAACCCCCCUUUGGUGUCUCAUCUUUUCAAGUUUGAUGUUUAUUAUAUCAUGAAUAAGAUCUAAAUAAGAAUUUGCUAAUUACAUUGAACUGUAGCUUGUCCACACAUUUGGAGUAUGAAAUCUAUAGCUUCUGUUUAAUUCACGGGCUGCAUUUUGUUCUUACAAAAAUCUUAAUUGGUGGUUGAAUAGCUGGACUUAUCUUUACCCUUUUCUUUAGAUCUACCUUGAGAAUGAAGGUUCAAAAGGGUUGUGAAAGUUUUUACUGUAAUCUUUCCUCCCCCUUUUUAACCUACUUCUGUUGUUUGCUACAUCAUAGAGUGACUGCACAUUUGGUUCAAAUCUAAAAAAUGCUCAUUCAAACAUGAGUGAAUCAAUCUUAGUGUGUUGAGAGAUUAAUUAGGUAUUAAUCUAAAUAUGUGUUUAGAGUUCCUAAGUUCAAGUCUUAAGAUGUAGCUAAAACUUAAAAGUUUUCUCUUCUCUUUAGAAUUUGGCAGUCACUUGGCUUAAGCUGUAUUUGAACAUUUCCCUGUAGUUGAAUGUUGUGUCAUCUUGGUUAAGUGUUGAGGAUAUAUGGUUCUUCCAGAUUGUAUGUUUAAGUUUUUAUGUUUAAAGAAUAUUAUCUGGUAGUAAAGAAGACUAGCUUUUAGGAAAGUAUGCUGAGUUUCUGAACUCUUUUUUUUUUAUUUUUUUUUAUUUUUUUAUUUAUACUAAUUGCUUUGGUUUUGCCUAAGUUGAGGAUGAUUUACUUCCUUCUCUAUUUUAGUUGUUAUUUGAUUCUUGAUACUCAUGCCUCACCCCUCAUUUUCUUUGCAUGACUUCGAGAUUUUUCAAAUCCCAAAUGUCCCGGAGUUGCUAUCGAAUUAUGUACAUAGACAGAUCUUCUUUCUUGAACAUUUAACUUAGGACUAGCUUAAAAAAUAAUGAUCUUAAGAUGCUUUAUACACAUUUUUAAAAUCAGUGUUCUGAAGAAUCUUAUAUGGUUCUCUAUUCUGUCACAUGUUAGUAAGAAUGAAAAUAGGUGUGUGUGGUGAUAUAGUUGUUCUCUCCUGCUGCGUCUUAAGUCUUUAAUGCUGCACUGGACACUUCUAAGGGCUUGUAGUGUCUCCUGUCUUGAAGCCCAUUUUGAGCUGAUGCUUGACAAGCAAUAAUCUGGAUGUGUGUUUGGUUGUUAUGACCAUCUACUAUGAUUGGUUGUUGUACAUAGUUGCUGAUGUUUCUCUAUGAUGCUAUACUGCUGACCUUUGCUGUUGUAUUUUUGUGAGCUAUUAUGCUUGGGAUUUGACAAAGAACAGUACUACACUUGAUUUGCUGCUGCAAUCUUAACGAGCUGUUUUGCAGUAUGUUGAGAUUUGGGCUGCUGAUCAAGAGCAGACACUUCACUUGAGGCAGAAAUGAAAAAGAAGUGAAUAAAUACUGAACUUGAGCUGCUAUUUCAGAGGCAGCUUGCUGUCACACUUUAGCUACUGCCUGUUGUGUUUCUGCUGCCUCUUUUGAGGGUGAAUUGAUGCUAUUUAUUUCGUUGAACUGCUGGACUAUUGGCAAAUGGUUGCUACAUUUUUUAGGGCUGAAAGAUGAAAGUCUCUUAACCUUUCAAAGGAUAAGCUGCUGCACUUUUGACGUUUAAAAGAGUUGCAUUCAUGAGCUGAUGUGUUCUUGAAAUAUUGUUGUUCUUCUUCUACGUACUAUGGCUGCUUAUUGCUACUAUUUAUUGCGUAUUUGAGGCCUUUAAGUUUAAAGUGAACGGACUUCUAUACUUAGUGAAAAUCCCACUGAUUUGAUUAAAAACAUGAUUGAGAUAAUGUUUGUUGAGCUAAACCUAAAUUUCCAAGCGCUUUUCUUUUCCUGGGAACAUUCCUUAUCUUGUUCUGUCAGCAAGAUUUUGAUUAAUUUAAAUUGCAACUGCUAAAGGCUAUAUUUUGUAGAGCUAAGGAGGAAAAGGAUACCAACUGGUUUCCUGAAGGCUAAAGUCGUUUUGGUGUUAACUGGGGGAUCAAAUGACGCCGUGAACCAUCUAGUUUUCUUUGAUAUUUGUAUGUGUAGUAGCAGGAGAGGGAAAAAUUUAUAUAAGAGUUGAUCUCACGAUCUUUUCUUCUUUUGGUUUUCGUAUGGAAAUUUUCUAUUAGGAUUCUAAUUUAAUUAAGUUUCGCCUGGGUUGAGAGUGUUUAUUGCGUUUGGACGUCGUCAUGGGAAGACAAUUUGGAUAAGACAUUCUCGCUUUGGGACCAUGGUUGUCACUCCCGAGAUGUGGGAUCAAAUGACGAACAUAAUGCAAUAUUUGGGAAGUACGGGAGCAGGGCCUAGCAAUAAUAGAGCAUCAUCUUCAGCUCAGCCGCCAGCAUGAUCAAAUGCAAAUUUUAGGCCAAGUUCGUGAUUGUUUUUAUAUUAUGCUAUCUUUGAUGUAUUCUGGUUUAUUUGAUGUACUCGCUUUUAUUCAAUAGAAUUUGGCCUCUUUUAUUCCCAAA